UGGAAAUGGAGGAAAUCUAUCCUGUGAGGU
rnacentral:piRNA from 1 species